rnacentral:rRNA from 1 species
GACGAACGCUGGCGGCGUGCUUAACACAUGCAAGUCGUACGGUAAGGCCCUUUCGGGGGUACACGAGUGGCGAACGGGUGAGUAACACGUGAGUAACCUGCCCACAACUUUGGGAUAACGCUAGGAAACUGGUGCUAAUACUGGCUAUGUGCUCCUGCUGCAUGGUGGGGGUUGGAAAGCUCCGGCGGUUGUGGAUGGACUCGCGGCCUAUCAGCUUGUUGGUGGGGUAGUGGCCUACCAAGGCGGCGACGGGUAGCCGGCCUGAGAGGGUGACCGGCCACAUUGGGACUGGGAUACGGCCCAGACUCCUACGGGAGGCAGCAGUGGGGAAUAUUGCACAAUGGGCGCAAGCCUGAUGCAGCAACGCCGCGUGCGGGAGGACGGCCUUCGGGUUGAAAACCGCUUUCAGCAGGGACGAAGCUUUUUGUGACGGUACCUGCAGAAGAAGCACCGGCUAACUACGUG